UACGUAGGGUGCAAGCGUUGUCCGGAAUUAUUGGGCGUAAAGAGCUCGUAGGCGGUUUGUUGCGUCGGCUGUGAAAUCCCGAGGCUCAACCUCGGGUCUGCAGUCGAUACGAGCAAACUAGAGUGUUGCAGGGGAGACUGGAAUUCCUGGUGUAGCGGUGAAAUGCGCAGAUAUCAGGAGGAACACCGGUGGCGAAGGCGGGUCUCUGAGCAACAACUGACGCUGAGGAGCGAAAGCGUGGGGAGCGAACAGG
rnacentral:rRNA from 1 species